rnacentral:rRNA from 1 species
CCUACGGGAGGCAGCAGUGGGGAAUAUUGGGCAAUGGAGGCAACUCUGACCCAGCAACGCCGCGUGAAUGAUGAAGGUCUUCGGAUUGUAAAGUUCUGUGAUGGGGGAUGAACACAAUGACGGUACCCCAAUAGCAAGCCACGGCUAACUACGUGCCAGCAGCCGCGGUAAUACGUAGGUGGCAAGCGUUAUCCGGAAUGACUGGGCGUAAAGGGGGCGUAGGUGGUUUAGUAAGUUGGCGGUGUAAUUCCGGGGCUCAACCUCGGCGCUACCUCCAAUACUAUUAGACUAGAGUGCAGGAGGGGUAAGUGGAAUUCCUAUUGUAGCGGUGGAAUGCGUAGAUAUUAGGAGGAACAUCAGGGGCGAAGGCGACUUACGGGACUGUAACUGACACUGAGGCACGAAAGCGUGGGGAGCAAACAGGAUUAGAUACCCCGGUAGUC